rnacentral:rRNA from 2 species
UGGGGAAUAUUGCACAAUGGGGGAAACCCUGAUGCAGCAACGCCGCGUGAAGGAUGAAGGCCCUUGGGUCGUAAACUUCUGUUCUAAGGGAAGAUAAUGACGGUACCUUAGGAGCAAGUCCCGGCUAACUACGUGCCAGCAGCCGCGGUAAUACGUAGGGGGCGAGCGUUAUCCGGAAUUAUUGGGCGUAAAGAGUACGUAGGCGGUUACCUAAGCAUGGGGUUUAAGGCAGUGGCUUAACCACUGUUCGCCCCAUGAACUGGGCUACUUGAGUGCAGGAGGGGAAAGCGGAAUUCCUAGUGUAGCGGUGAAAUGCGUAGAUAUUAGGAGGAACACCAGUGGCGAAGGCGGCUUUCUGGACUGUAACUGACGCUGAGGUACGAAAGUGUGGGGAGCAAACAGG